rnacentral:rRNA from 1 species
CAGUAGCCGCGGUAAUACGGAGGGUGCAAGCGUUACUCGGAAUCACUGGGCGUAAAGGACGCGUAGGCGGAUUAUCAAGUCUCUUGUGAAAUCUAACGGCUUAACCGUUAAACUGCUUGGGAAACUGAUAAUCUAGAGUAAGGGAGAGGCAGAUGGAAUUCUUGGUGCAGGGGUAAAAUCCGUAGAUAUCAAGAAGAAUACCUAUUGCGAAGGCGAUCUGCUGGAACUUAACUGACGCUAAUGCGUGAAAGCGUGGGGAGCAAACAGGAUUAGAUACCCCAGUAGUCCCUGUCUCUUAUAC